CGCAUCAAGAACUCCGGCUACCACAAUC
rnacentral:piRNA from 1 species